UGCCCUAGUAACGGCGAGUGAAGCGGCAACAGCUCAAAUUUGAAAUCUGGCUCUCGGGCCCGAGUUGUAAUUUGUAGAGGAUGCUUUUGGUGAGGUGCCUUCCGAGUUCCCUGGAACGGGACGCCAUAGAGGGUGAGAGCCCCGUCUGGUUGGACACCGAUCCUCUGUAAAGCUCCUUCGACGAGUCGAGUAGUUUGGGAAUGCUGCUCUAAAUGGGAGGUAUAUGUCUUCUAAAGCUAAAUACCGGCCAGAGACCGAUAGCGCACAAGUAGAGUGAUCGAAAGAUGAAAAGAACUUUGAAAAGAGAGUUAAAAAGUACGUGAAAUUGUUGAAAGGGAAGCGCUUGUGACCAGACUUGGGCUUGGUUGAUCAUCCAGGGUUCUCCCUGGUGCACUCUUCCGGCCCAGGCCAGCAUCAGUUCGCCCCGGGGGAAAAAGGCUUCGGGAAUGUGGCUCUCUCCGGGGAGUGUUAUAGCCCGUUGCGUAAUACCCUGUGGCGGACUGAGGUUCGCGCAUUCGCAAGGAUGCUGGCGUAAUGGUCAUCAGUGACCCGUCUUGAAACACGGACCAAGGAGUCGUCUUCGUAUGCGAGUGUUCGGGUGUCAAACCCCUACGCGAAAUGAAAGUGAACGCAGGUGAGAGCUUCGGCGCAUCAUCGACCGAUCCUGAUGUAUUCGGAUGGAUUUGAGUAAGAGCAUACGGAGCCGGACCCGAAAGAAGGUGAACUAUGCCUGUGUAGGGUGAAGCCAGAGGAAACUCUGGUGGAGGCUCGCAGCGGUUCUGACGUGCAAAUCGAUCGUCAAACAUGGGCAUGGGGGCGAAAGACUAAUCGAACCUUCUAGUAGCUGGUUUCCGCCGAAGUUUCCCUCAGGAUAGCAGUGUUGAACUCAGUUUUAUGAGGUAAAGCGAAUGAUUAGGGACUCGGGGGCGCUAUUUAGCCUUCAUCCAUUCUCAAACUUUAAAUAUGUAAGAAGCCCUUGUUUCUUAACUGAACGUGGGCAUUCGAAUGAAUCAACACUAGUGGGCCAUUUUUGGUAAGCAGAACUGGCGAUGCGGGAUGAACCGAACGCGAGGUUAAGGUGCCAGAGUAGACGCUCAUCAGACACCACAAAAGGUGUUAGUACAUCUUGACAGCAGGACGGUGGCCAUGGAAGUCGGAAUCCGCUAAGGACUGUGUAACAACUCACCUGCCGAAUGUACUAGCCCUGAAAAUGGAUGGGCGCUCAAAGCGUCUCA
rnacentral:rRNA from 1 species